UAACCCAUGUUUAACUAAUGUUCACAUGGAACCCUUCUCCACUUCGGCCUUCAAAGUUCUCAUUUGAAUAUUUGCUACUACCACCAAGA